GAGCAAAUAGCACAAAUGCACUAAUAGGGCUUUUGCUUGAUUUCUUAACAGCUUAAAGACAUGUGAUCCUGACACCUUCAAGAGAAUGCUUAAAGACAAGUGACGCCCACACGUUCAAGAGAAUGGCCAAGCGAGACAUGUACCCAUUUCCUACUGCGCACCUAACGCUGAAGAGAUUGUCAGCACUAUACCAGGUGUGAGAGGAGUCAGGCCGUCCUUAACAUCAUAGCUUAUAUCAUGCACACUCAGAUGAGAUGUACCUUCGUCGUUGUGCUCCCAAGCGCUUGGCCUUGGAUCACCACAUUUCCUUGAGGGCACUCAUCGCCCUAAUAUGUUUUUCCUGAUUGAUGAGAAAUCCUUGCACAGGAAGUGGGCUCAAAGACCGUCAAGUGCUGUAGGCCUAAUCCGUUUCUCUUCUCGUACCGACAGGCCUUGCGGUUGAUCUGCACGACAGCCAGCCAGCCAGUAUUUCUAGAGAUCAUAUUUCCGGACGGCAAUAGUACAUAACACUACAGGCGAAGGAAAGUCUUGCUGGUCAAAUUCAAAAUUCCUUUGAUCCUUAUCGUUCUGUUUAGGGCGUUCGUUGUGUUUGGAGAUUGCAUACUCAGUCCGGAC